rnacentral:misc_RNA from 1 species
AAAGGGUCCAUCAUGGCCACAAGAGCUCACGACCACCUUGGCCUCCAUCACAUUAGGGUCCAUGCAAGACUGUGUGUCAUGGUUCAUCGACACAAGAGCCCAGUUGGUGACCACGCCACCCACUCUUCCAUUCUUCACUAUCAGGUCCUCAGCAGCCACUGCGUUGAAAAGCUUAACAUUAGGGCGCGCCAGGAGCUUGCUCAUAAUUGUGGAUGUGAACAGGGCAGCGUGCUUGAUUACUACAUAGUUGUCUGCUUCAUCGUACUCGAUGCCUAGCUCAUCAAGGAAGAGAUGAGCAGGUUUGCGCACCACCAUGGCAGAGAAGAGCUGGCCACCUAGCCAAGCACCACCACCAGGGCUAACAGAUUGCUCAACAAUGGCAACUUUAACAGACGGGUUUUUGCUAAGCUCAUAAGCACAAGAAAGGCCAGCAGAG